CUCCAAGGUGAUUCUAAACCAGUCAGGCACAAUGAAGACACAUGACAUCCCCACCCCCCACCUCCCACCCCGUUUUCAAGACCAUAGCACCUCAGUGACCUUCUCAGGCAGGAUAAUCGUCCUGCUCAUCGUUCUCAAUACUACAAAGUGACUCUGCUGUACAUGGGAGUGGGGAGGAGUAUUUGAGAUGAAGCAUGACUUUCAACUUUCCAGAACAGAGAUAGGAGACACGUUCCAUGGGACUAGAGCAAACAAGGAGUAAGCCAGGGGUACAGUCAAAACAUGCAGACAGCACAGGACUGGAACCUCGCCCAACACAUCUGGGAGAGCAAGCAGCAAGGGGAGCCAGACAACAUCUCAGCAGGCCAUCUCCCCACAGUCCCUGUGCAGGCCAUAUUGAGAGUAUGUGCUUGUUUGUUAGCUCGUUUUGAUAACUUGACACAAGGCCUAUGGGACAUUUUCUGAUUGAUGUGGAAAGGUCAUCCCACUGUGGCAGAGGUCCUGAGGUGUGUAUAGAAGCAAACAGAACAAACCAGUAAGCAGCACUCCUCCCUGGCCUCUGCACCAGCUCCUGCCUCCAGGUUCCUGCCCUGACUUCUUUCAGCGAUCGAUUAUAAAUUGUAAAGGGAAAUAAACACUUUCCUCCUCAG